CACGUAGGGGGCAAGCGUUGUCCGGAUUUAUUGGGCGUAAAGAGCGUGUAGGCGGUUGGGUAGGUCCGUUGUGAAAACUCGAGGCUCAACCUCGAGACGCCGAUGGAAACCCCCCAGCUAGAGUCCGGAAGAGGAGAGUGGAAUUCCUGGUGUAGCGGUGAAAUGCGCAGAUAUCAGGAAGAACACCCGUGGCUAAGGCGGCUCUCUAGUACGGUACUGACGCUGAGACGCGAAAGCGUGGGGAGCGAACAGG
rnacentral:rRNA from 1 species